CAGGGAUUGCCCCAGUAACGGCGAGUGAAGCGGCAACAGCUCAAAUUUGAAAUCUGGCCCCAGGCCCGAGUUGUAAUUUGCAGAGGAUGCUUUUGGCGCGGUGCCUUCCGAGUUCCCUGGAACGGGACGCCAUAGAGGGUGAGAGCCCCGUACGGUUGGACACCAAGCCUUUGUAAAGCUCCUUCGACGAGUCGAGUAGUUUGGGAAUGCUGCUCUAAAUGGGAGGUACAUUUCUUCUAAAGCUAAAUAUUGGCCAGAGACCGAUAGCGCACAAGUAGAGUGAUCGAAAGAUGAAAAGCACUUUGAAAAGAGGGUUAAACAGCACGUGAAAUUGUUAAAAGGGAAGCGCUUGUGACCAGACUUGCGUCCGGUGAAUCACCCAGCUCUCGCGGCUGGGGCACUUCGCCGGCACAGGCCAGCAUCAGCUUGCCGUCGGGGACAAAAGCUUCAGGAACGUGGCUCCUCUCGGGGAGUGUUAUAGCCUGUUGCAUAAUACCCUUCGGCGGGCUGAGGUACGCGCUCCGCAAGGAUGCUGGCGUAAUGGUCAUCAGCGACCCGUCUUGAAACACGGACCAAGGAGUCAACCUUAUGUGCGAGUGUUUGGGUGUUAAACCCCUACGCGUAAUGAAAGUGAACGCAGGUGAGAGCUUCGGCGCAUCAUCGACCGAUCCUGAUGUUCUCGGAUGGAUUUGAGUAAGAGCAUAUAGGGUUGGACCCGAAAGAAGGUGAACUAUGCGUGUGUAGGGUGAAGCCAGAGGAAACUCUGGUGGAGGCUCGCAGCGGUUCUGACGUGCAAAUCGAUCGUCAAACAUGCGCAUGGGGGCGAAAGACUAAUCGAACCUUCUAGUAGCUGGUUUCCGCC
rnacentral:rRNA from 1 species